rnacentral:lncRNA from 1 species
AAACGCCAGCGUCUGGACGUGAGCGCAGGUGACGGAGCGCGAGGAGGUGCGCGGCCGUGAGCUCACCGGCCUCAAGGCGCUCUACGAGACCGAGCUGGCCGACGCGCGACGCGCGCUCGACGACACGGCCCGCGAGCGCGCCAAGCUGCAGAUCGAGCUGGGCAAGUGCAAGGCGGAACACGACCAGCUGCUCCUCAACUAUGCUAAGAAGGAAUCUGAUCUUAAUGGCGCCCAGAUCAAGCUUCGAGAAUAUGAAGCAGCACUGAAUUCGAAAGAUGCAGCUCUUGCUACUGCACUUGGUGACAAAAAAAGUUUAGAGGGAGAUUUGGAGGAUCUGAAGGAUCAGAUUGCCCAGUUGGAAGCCUCCUUAGCUGCAGCCAAAAAACAGUUAGCAGAUGAAACUUUACUUAAAGUAGAUUUGGAGAAUCGUUGUCAGAGCCUUACUGAGGACUUGGAGUUUCGCAAAAGCAUGUAUGAAGAGGAGAUUAACGAGACCAGAAGGAAGCAUGAAACGCGCUUGGUAGAGGUGGAUUCUGGGCGUCAAAUUGAGUAUGAGU